rnacentral:rRNA from 1 species
UACAGAGGGUGCGAGCGUUGUCCGGAAUCACUGGGCGUAAAGGGCGCGUAGGCGGCUUGAUAAGGUUGCGGUGAAAGCCCGGGGCUCAACCCCGGGUCGGCCGUGGCAACUGUCGAGCUGGAGCACUGUAGAGGCAGGUGGAAUUCCGGGUGUAGCGGUGGAAUGCGUAGAUAUUCGGCGGAACACCAGUGGCGAAGGCGACUCACUGGCCCGAUACUGACGCUGAGGCGCGAAAGCGUGGGGAGCAAACAGG